UGUUGGGGCGGCAGGUAGCCUAGUGGUUAGAGCGUUGGACCAGUAACCAGCAGGUAGCCUAGUGGUUAGAGCGUUGGACCAGUAACCAGCAGGUAGCCUAGUGGUUAGAGCGUUGGACCAGUAACCAGCAGGUAGCCUAGUGGUUAGAGCGUUGGACCAGUAACCAGCAGUAGCCUAGUGGUUAGAGUGUAGGGGCGGUAGGUGGCCUAGUGGUGAGAGUGUAGGGACGGCAGGUGGCCUAGUGGUUAGAGUGUAGGGACGGCAGGUGGCCAAGUGGUUAGAGUGUAGGGACAGCAGGUAGCCUAGUGGUUAGAGCAUUGGACUAGUAACCAGCAGGUAGCC
ensembl:lncRNA